rnacentral:rRNA from 10 species
ACUCUAAGCGGUGGAUCACUCGGCUCGUGCGUCGAUGAAGAGCGCAGCCAGCUGCGUGAAUUAAUGUGAAUUGCAGGACACAUCGAGCAUCGACAUCUUGAACGCACAUGGCGGCCUCGGGCACUCUCGGGGCCGCGCCCGUCUGAGGGUCGGUU